UCUGACUGAGUAGCUUCCCCGAGGAGCAGGAGGAGUGGAGAAACCCAUUUUGACCCUGGAGACGUGCUCAGACAAUGGCCACCGUCAGCCUGCAACAGCCUGGGGAGGGUACAACCACACCGGUGACCAUGGUCGUGGGAUCAUUGCCACUUAACCUUCUGGGACUUGAUGUACUGAAAGGGCACAAGAAUGGAGAACUCCGGUGUUGGAGGAAUUAAAAGGACAGACGAUUGUGGUGCCAACCCAUUCUCCUUUUAACUCCCCGGUAUGGCCUGUUUGUAAGCCAAAAGGGAAAUGGAGAUUAACCAUAGACUAUUGCGGGCUUCACGCUAAUCCAGACCCAUUAACAGCCGCUGCACCCAACAUUGCUGAGCUUAUAGCAUCUGUCCAGGAACAAGCUCACCCUAUGAGGGCAAGCAUUGAUGUUAAAGACGUGGUUUUAUGUCCCCUUGCAACCUGAGGACAGAGAAUGUUUUGCAUUCAUUUGUGAGGGUCAACGGUUUACCUGACUUCCUCAGAGACACAAGCAUUCCCCUACGCUGGCCCAUCAUGCUUUAGCACAAGAAUUAGAAUUAUUUGCUUUGGAGGAAGGAGUUGAAAUUUACCCAUUUGUUAAUGACAUGCUUAUAGGAGGAAGUCAGGUAGACAAGGUUUAAGUGUGCAAUUUUUCUAUUACAAAGCCUUUAUAUGACCUCCUACAAAAAGGAGCGUCAUGGGAGUGGACCCCGAUCUGUGAAGGGGCCCUGCAGUUGUUAGUGUUUGAGACUGCAAACCACCAAGCUCUUCUCCCAAUUCACCCUUCCGACUCAAUCCAAAUCAAAUGGGCAUUUGCCCCAUCAGGUUUAUUGAUACACUGCUGGCAAAAGGGGCCCGAAGGACUGACCUACUCAGCCUAUUGGAUUUUACUCCCACAGCCUCAAAGAUGCUGAGAAGAGGUAUUCCAUCUGGGAAAAGGGGUUGUCUGUGGUCAGCCUAGCCCUGCAAGAAGCCAAGCGCACCAUACACAGCCAACCAGUAGCGCUCAGAGCUCCUGUUACGGUAAUAAAGUCUGUGUUAACUGGGACACCACCCCCUGACGAGGUGGCACAAACGGGCUCUGUGCAAAAAUGGUAUGCUCAAAUUGAACAUUGCUAUCAUCUUUUGAGUGUCUCUGAGGGUGCAGCCGAGACUCUGGCUAUUGAGGAGCAUACUGCCUUGAAAACUGAAGAUGACACUAUCACAGAAUCACAGAA
rnacentral:lncRNA from 1 species